rnacentral:rRNA from 1 species
GAUGAACGCUGGCGGCGUGCCUAAUACAUGCAAGUCGAGCGAACGGACGAGAAGCUUGCUUCUCUGAUGUUAGCGGCGGACGGGUGAGUAACACGUGGAUAACCUACCUAUAAGACUGGGAUAACUUCGGGAAACCGGAGCUAAUACCGGAUAAUAUUUUGAACCGCAUGGUUCAAAAGUGAAAGACGGUCUUGCGGUCACUUAUAGAUGGAUCCGCGCUGCUUUAGCUAGUUGGUAAGGUAACGGCUUACCAAGGCAACGAUGCAUAGCCGACCUGAGAGGGUGAUCGGCCCCACUGGAACUGAGACACGGUCCAGACUCCUACGGGAGGCAGCAGUAGGGAAUCUUCCGCAAUGGGCGAAAGCCUGACGGAGCAACGCCGCGUGAGUGAUGAAGGUCUUCGGAUCGUAAAACUCUGUUAUUAGGGAAGAACAUAUGUGUAAGUAACUGUGCACAUCUUGACGGUACCUAAUCAGAAAGCCACGGCCAACUACGUG